AUUGAACGCUGGCGGCAGGCUUAACACAUGCAAGUCGAGCGAGUGGCGGACGGGUGAGUAAUGUCUGGGAAACUGCCUGAUGGAGGGGGAUAACUACUGGAAACGGUAGCUAAUACCGCAUACCAUCGGAUGAGCCCAGAUGGGAUUAGGUAGUUGGUGGGGUAAUGGCGUACCAAGGCGACGAUCCCUAGCUGGUCUGAGAGGAUGACCAGCCACACUGGAACGGAGACACGGUCCAGACUCCUACGGGAGGCAGCAGUGGGGAAUAUUGCACAAUGGGCGCAAGCCUGAUGCAGCCAUGCCGCGUGUGUGAAGAAGGCCUUCGGGUUGUAAAGCACUUUCGGCGAGGAGGCGUUACUCGCAGAAGAAGCACCGGCUAACUCCGUGCCAGCAGCCGCGGUAAUAC
rnacentral:rRNA from 1 species